GAGCAAAUGAUGAUUACAUAUGAUUUUACUGAUACAUUUGAUGUUACAAAAUCGAGCUUUUUAAAACUGAUGCUCA
rnacentral:snoRNA from 1 species